rnacentral:rRNA from 1 species
AUUGAACGCUGGCGGCAGGCCUAACACAUGCAAGUCGAACGGAGUGGCGGACGGGUGAGUAAUGUCUGGGAAACUGCCUGAUGGAGGGGGAUAACGUCCGGAAACGGGCGCUACUACCGCAUACUAUCAGAUGAGCCUAGGUCGGAUUAGCUAGUUGGUGGGGUAAAGACCUACCAAGGCGACGAUCCGUAACUGUGCUGAGAGGAUGAUCAGGCACACUGGAACUGAGACACGGUCAAGACUCCGACGGGAGGCAGCAGUGGGGAAUAUGGGACAAUGGGCGAAAGCCUGAUCCAGCCAUGCCGGGUGUGGGAAGAAGGUCUUCGGAUUGUAAAGCACUUUAAGUUGGGAGGCGUUACCAACAGAAUAAGCACCGGCUAACUUCGUGCCAGCAGCCGCGGUAAUAC